AGUGAGAGCGUACGACAGGUGGCUGCAUGGCUGUCGUCAGCUCGUGUCGUGAGAUGUUGGGUUAAGUCCGCACGAGCGCAACCCUGCAUUCAGUUGCCAUCGGUAAGGCCGGGCACUCUGGAUGGACUGCCGGCGACAAGCCGGAGGAAGGUGGGGACGACGUCAAGUCAUCAUGGCCCUUAUGUCCAGGGCGACACACGUGCUACAAUGGCCGGCACAACGGGAAGCGAAGGGGCGACCCUGAGCGGAUCCCACAAAAGCCGGUCUCAGUUCGGAUUGCAGUCUGCAACUCGACUGCAUGAAGUUGGAAUCGCUAGUAAUCGUGGAUCAGCCAAGCCGCGGUGAAUACGUUCCCGGGCCUU
rnacentral:rRNA from 1 species